rnacentral:rRNA from 1 species
AAGUCGAGCGGAUGAAGGGAGCUUGCUCCUGGAUUCAGCGGCGGACGGGUGAGUAAUGCCUAGGAAUCUGCCUGGUAGUGGGGGAUAACGUCCGGAAACGGGCGCUAAUACCGCAUACGUCCUGAGGGAGAAAGUGGGGGAUCUUCGGACCUCACGCUAUCAGAUGAGCCUAGGUCGGAUUAGCUAGUUGGUGGGGUAAAGGCCUACCAAGGCGACGAUCCGUAACUGGUCUGAGAGGAUGAUCAGUCACACUGGAACUGAGACACGGUCCAGACUCCUACGGGAGGCAGCAGUGGGGAAUAUUGGACAAUGGGCGAAAGCCUGAUCCAGCCAUGCCGCGUGUGUGAAGAAGGUCUUCGGAUUGUAAAGCACUUUAAGUUGGGAGGAAGGGCAGUAAGUUAAUACCUUGCUGUUUUGACGUUACCAACAGAAUAAGCACCGGCUAACUUCGUGCCAGCAGCCGCGGUAAUACGAAGGGUGCAAGCGUUAAUCGGAAUUACUGGGCGUAAAGCGCGCGUAGGUGGUUCAGCAAGUUGGAUGUGAAAUCCCCGGGCUCAACCUGGGAACUGCAUCCAAAACUACUGAGCUAGAGUACGGUAGAGGGUGGUGGAAUUUCCUGUGUAGCGGUGAAAUGCGUAGAUAUAGGAAGGAACACCAGUGGCGAAGGCGACCACCUGGACUGAUACUGACACUGAGGUGCGAA